ACUCGGCCGAGUCGUAUCCGCCUCGACCAUGGCCGGUACCGGACCGAUACCCGAGUUGGAUAUUUUGUCGAACAAACUCGGUUGAAUUGAAAGAGUGAAUCCCAUGGAAACGUUGAGACAACUCCAAGAUCAUGUUGAGACUAAGCUAUUUGGGUUAUUGGUAAUGGAAAAAAAAGGUAAUAUUGGAGUAGAAAUGGUGGAGAAGAUGAGAGGAUCAAAACCCACGAAAAUGAAAAAUACAGAUUACAGAGAUGGACUGCAUCUUGUAGUCGCCGGUUAGAUCCCCCAAGUUCUUGCCGGAGAUGGAACUGAGCGACAUGAGGAGGAGGCAGAGUCGCCGGAAUCCAGCACUGCUAUUAUUGACAGAGAACGACGGUGAGGUGGCCAAUGGAAGUGGGAGAAGAGAGAAAGUGGGCUUGUGGAGGAGCUAGUUGUGGGGAGAAAUGGGUGUUUGACCGGUCAAUGGUGGUUAUGAGUAUUUAACAGAUGUGGAUUUGGGUUUUUUUUUUUUUUUUUUGAUAAAUAGGUGAGGAUUUAGGUUUUAAAUAAUAUGUAUUUGUUUUUUAAGUAGAUAAUGAGUAUUUGGUGGGAAUUUGAGUUUUAAAUAAUUUGAUGAAAAUUAUAAUGAUAAAAAAUUAAUAAUGAAUAUUAGACUUAUAUCAAAUAAAUAGGAAAUGAAUAUUUAUAUAAAAAUUCAAAUUAAUGAAUAUAUUUUAUAAGAAAAAUUAUAUUUAUUUUUAAAAAAAUGAAUCAUGGUUUUAUUUUUUUAAUAGUUAAAUUUUUUUUUAAAAAAAAAUUCAAAAUAUUUAAUUUAAACAGUUUUUUAUAAAAAAAAAUACUUUUUAUUAUUUUCAUCUUCAACAAGAAACAUUUAUUAUCAAGUGAUUAAAUUAAAAUAUUUUUAGAGAUUUUUAAUAUUAUUUAAAAUCAUCCCAAAAGUAUGCUUUUAUUAUAAUUUGAAUAAUUAUAAUAUAAUAGAAGUUUCUUUUAUUAAUUUUUCACUCUACUUAUUUGUAUUUAAAUUUUUAAAUAAUUUUCAUAAUUUUUUGAAAUUAUUUUAAGCUCUUAAAUUAGAAUUUUUUGCGUAUCAUCCGAUACCGAUUCGAGAUACCUAGAUAGAUGUGCCUCAAGACCAGGGUUCAAAAUCUCGGUCAACACCGGUACGACUCGGCCGAGUCGUAUCCGCCUCGACCAUGGCCGGUACCGGACCGAUACCUGAGUUGGAUAUUUUGUCGAACAAACUCGAUUGAAUUGAAAGAGUGAAUCCCAUGGAAACGUUGAGACAACUCCAAGAUCAUGUUGAGACUAAGCUAUUUGGGUUAUUGGUAAUGGAAAAAAAAGGUAAUAUUGGAGUAGAAAUGGUGGAGAAGAUGAGAGGAUCAAAACCCACGAAAAUGAAAAAUACAGAUUACAGAGAUGGACUGCAUCUUGUAGUCGCCGGUC
rnacentral:lncRNA from 1 species